GAUGAACGCUGGCGGCGUGCCUAAUACAUGCAAGUCGAACGAACAGAUCAUGAGCUUGCUCCUCUGACGUUAGCGGCGGACGGGUGAGUAACACGUGUAUAACCUCCCUAUAAGACGGGGAUAACUUCGGGACACCGGGGCUAAUACCGGAUAAUAUCUUGAACCGCAUGGUUCAAUAGUGAAAGACGGCUUUGCUGUCACUUAUCGAUGGUUCCGCGCUGCAUUAGCUAGUUGGUAAGGUAACGGCCUUCCAAGGCAACGAUGCGUAGCCGAACUGAGAGAGGGGUAGCCGACACUAGAGGGGGGACGCGGUCCAGGGUCCUACGGGACGCCGCAGUAGGCAAUGUGAGGCAGUAGGCGAGAGCAUUGCGGAGCAGGGCCAAGUGAGUGGUGACGGCGUUGGGUUCGGAAUGCCGGCUUAUGGGUGGUAAACAGAUGUGUAAUGAACCGAGGAGGGCUUGACGGUAACGAAUAAGGAAGCCACGGCUAACUACGUG
rnacentral:rRNA from 1 species